rnacentral:tRNA from 1 species
GAGACAUUAGUUAAUAAUAACAUUACCUUGUCAAGGUAAAAUAACAAGUUAAAACCUUGUAUAUCUCU